CUUGGUCAUUUAGAGGAAGUAAAAGUCGUAACAAGGUUUCCGUAGGUGAACCUGCGGAAGGAUCAUUAUCGAAAUUAUUGGUGAGGGUUGUAGCUGGCCUUUCGAGGCAUGUGCACGCUCGAGCCCUUAAUCCACUUUACACCUGUGCACUUAAUGUAGGUCGCCCUUAAAAAAGGUGACCUAUGUCUUAUCAUCAACCCAUCGUAUGUCUCAUAGAAUGUAAUCGAUAUCCUCGCCCUAAAAAAGCGUUGAUAAACUUAUACAACUUUCAACAACGGAUCUCUUGGCUCUCGCAUCGAUGAAGAACGCAGCGAAAUGCGAUAAGUAAUGUGAAUUGCAGAAUUCAGUGAAUCAUCGAAUCUUUGAACGCACCUUGCGCUCCUUGGUAUUCCGAGGAGCAUGCCUGUUUGAGUGUCAUUAAUAUAUAUCAACCUUCUCUUUACUGAGUGGUUUGGAUGUGGGGGUUUGCUGGCCUCUUAUAUGAGUUCAGCUCCCCUGAAAUGCAUUAGCAGAACAACCCGUUCGUUGGCGUGAUAACUAUCUACGCUAUUGAAUGUGAGGGACAGUUCAGCUUUCUAACAGUCCUUGGACAACUUAUCAUUUAUGUGACCUCAAAUCAGGUAGGACUACCCGCUGAACUUAAGCAUAUCAAUAAGCGGAGGA
rnacentral:rRNA from 1 species